rnacentral:rRNA from 1 species
GACGAACGCUGGCGGCGUGCUUAACACAUGCAAGUCGAGCGGUAAGGCCCUUCGGGGUACACGAGCGGCGAACGGGUGAGUAACACGUGGGUGACCUGCCUCUAGCUCUGGGAUAAGCCUGGGAAACUGGGUCUAAUACCGGAUAUGACUCCACGGCGCAUGUUGUGGGGUGGAAAGCCUUGUGUGGCUAGAGAUGGGCCCGCGGCCUAUCAGCUUGUUGGGUGGGGUGAUGGCCACCAAGGCGACGACGGGUAGCCGGCCUGAGAGGGCGACCGGCCACACUGGGACUGAGACACGGCCCAGACUCCUACGGGAGGCAGCAGUGGGGAAUCUUGCGCAAUGGGCGAAAGCCUGACGCAGCGACGCCGCGUGAGGGAUGACGGCC